rnacentral:rRNA from 14 species
AUCAAUAGCCAUACCAAAUUAACACCCCUAAUCUGAUCUGAUCCCAGAAGUUAAGCAUGGUUAGGCCUGGUUAAUAUUUGGAUGGGAAACUAACUGGGAUUAUUGGAU